rnacentral:rRNA from 1 species
AUUGAACGCUGGCGGCAGGCUUAGCACAUGCAAGUCGAGCGGAGAUGAGGUGCUUGCACCUUAUCUUAGCGGCGGACGGGUGAGUAAUGCUUAGGAAUCUGCCUAUUAGUGGGGGACAACAUUCCGAAAGGAAUGCUAAUACCGCAUACGCCCUACGGGGGAAAGCAGGGGAUCUUCGGACCUUGCGCGAAUAGAUGAGCCUAAGUCGGAUUAGCUAGUUGGUGGGGUAAAGGCCUACCAAGGCGACGAUCUGUAGCGGGUCUGAGAGGAUGAAUCGCCACACUGGGACUGAGACACGGCCCAGGCUCCUACGGGAGGCAGCAGUGAGGAAUAUUGGGCAAUGGGGGCAACUCUGACCCAGCCAUGCCGCGUGAAGGAUGAAGGUCCUCUGGAUUGUAAACUUCUUUUGUAUGGGGAUAAACUUUUCUACGUGUAGAAAACUGAAGGUACCAUACGAAUAAGGACCGGCUAACUCCGUGCCAGCCGCCGCGGUAAUAC